CCUACGGGAGGCUGUAGUGGGGAAUAUUGCACAAUGGGGGAAACCCUGAUGCAGCGACGCCGCGUGAGUGAAGAAGUAAUUCGGUAUGUAAAGCUCUUUCAGCAGGGAAGAAAAUGAAGGUACCUGAGUAAGAAGCCCCGGCUAACUACGUGCCAGCAGCCGCGGUAAUACGGAGGGGGCAAGCGUUAUCCGGAUUUACUGGGUGUAAAGGGAGCGUAGACGGCAGUGCAAGUCUGGAGUGAAAGUCGGGGGCUCAACCCCCGGACUGCUCUGGAAACUGUACGGCUGGAGUGCAGGAGAGGUAAGUGGAAUUCCUAGUGUAGCGGUGAAAUGCGUAGAUAUUAGGAGGAACACCAGUGGCGAAGGCGGCUUACUGGACUGUAACUGACGUUGAGGCUCGAAAGCGUGGGGAGCAAACAGGAUUAGAUACCCUUGUAGUC
rnacentral:rRNA from 1 species